rnacentral:rRNA from 1 species
GCAUAUCAAUAAGCGGAGGAAAAGAAAAUAACAAUGAUUCCCCUAGUAACUGCGAGUGAAGAGGGACAAGCUCAAAUUUUAAAUCUAUCGGGUUUUACCUGAUCGAGUUGUAAUUUGAAGAUGGCGUUUUCUGUGUUUCUGAUCAGUUCAAGUCCUUUGGGAUAAGGCAUCAUGGAGGGUGAGAAUCCCGUUCGGUUGAUCAGAUUCGCUUUACGAUACGUUAUCAAAGAGUCAAGUUGUUUGGGAUUGCAGCUUAAAAUGGGAGGUAAAUUUCUCCUAAGGCUAAAUAACGGCGAGAGACCGAUAGCGAACAAGUACCGUGAGGGAAAGAUGAAAAGAACUUUGAAAAGAGAGUUAAACAGUACGUGAAAUUGUUGAAAGGGAAACGAUUGAAGCCAGUCGUACCUUCGGGUAAUCAGCCUUUCGGGUGCGAUUCUGUGGGGUGUGAGGAGCUUAACACCUUCAUGCUUUGCAUAUUUGUGCUCUUGGGUGUACUUGCCCGUGUGGUUGGUUAACAUCAAUUUUGGUUAUCAUAAAAUGACUGGAGGAAUGUAGCUUCGAUCUCGUAUUGAAGUGUUUAUAGCCUUCGGUAGAUGUGAUGAACGAGAUUGAGGAUUGCAACGGAUACCCUUCGGGGCUACCUGUCUGGUCUCUGAUCGUUGCUCUGGUGCUGAAAGCUUGCUUACAGUUAUCAAAGUUGAUGGUCAAUAGGUUAGAACGGGUUAAAUUCGUUAAGGAUGUUGACGUAAUGGCUUUAAACGACCCGUCUUGAAACACGGACCAAGGAGUCUAACAUAUAUGCGAGUGUUAGGGUGAUUAAACCCUUACGCGUAAUGAAAGUAAUUUUGGUGGGAACACUUUUGUGCACCAUCGACCGAUCAGGAUAUUUUUUGAUAGAUUUGAGUAAGAGCA